GUUCCGAGCCCCGUGGCCGGGAGGCGCUGUCGGCCAGCGCGGCGAGCGCAGCUCAGCGCCCGGCGGGUGCGCGGCGGGCUUGGGGUGCCGCGCGGUAGCGCACCCUCCUGCGCCCCAGCGGCCGCGGGCUUGCGCAGCGCUUUCUUUCGAUGCAGAACGAGCCCCAGGCACCCCAGCAGGCCGCAGGCUUCUCUUUCGCGGUGGAUGAGGUCGCCUGCAGAUCCAGGCUGGGCCUUAUGGGCUGCCCAGGCGGAGAUUUUUUAAAAAGCCUCGUGGGGCAUAGCACCAUCGCUAAAUGCCUGGUACAUUUAAGAAGCCCGACUGCGGGAGAGGCCCUCUACAAACGCUGUUACCUGGAAUCUGAGAACUAA
rnacentral:lncRNA from 1 species